GUAUAUGCCAAAUGGAUGAAUAGACAUUCAGACUUUUUCCAAGUGUAGAACCUCACACCUUGGAGAGCCUUGAUUACUUCACAUCCAUAUAGUAAAAUCCCUUUCACAUCGCUAUGCCAGUCAUACUUUCCCUUCGGUCAUCUGACCUCUGUGGCGGUCCAAGCUUCAAAAGAUGUAACCCCUUUUGACCUCAACAAUAGCAUCUCUGUAAUUUGUGCCAUUUACUACACAAAUUACAUUAAAGGAUAAUGUUCCAUAGGGUAAUAAUAAAUUAUGCACC